rnacentral:tRNA from 1 species
UGUAGUCGAACCAGAAUCAAUCCCAAAAGGUCGGAACGAGGUAUGUGGCUUUCAAACUAGGUUCUGGGUUCAUAAAAGACCUGAAUCAGGAACAAGGGCUAUUAGCUCAGGUGGUUAGAGCGCACCCCUGAUAAGGGUGAGGUCCCUGGUUCGAGUCCAGGAUGGCCCACCUGCACAGGUGGCAAAAACAAAGAAAAGAAGCGAGGAAUCAGCACCUUAUCUUACUUAUAUAGUAAGAGAGAAUGCUGGCUCUGAGUACAGAGUCCAGAGGAACCUUGAAAACUGCAUAGAGCUAGGUGAAAAAGCCAAAAAAGAGGACCGCAAA